GCAUAGGGAGACCUGGGGCACGGGGACUGAGACAGCGCGGACACUCUUACUGGAGGCAAUUUUGGGGAGUAUUGCCCUCUGGGGGAAAGCCUGAUGCAUGGACGCCGCGUGCGGGAUGACGGCCUUCGGGUUGUAAACCUCGUUCAGCAGGGACGAAGCGCAAGUGACGGUACCUGCAGAAGAAGCACCGGCUAACUACGUGCCAGCAGCCGCGGUAAUACGUAGGGUGCAAGCGUUGUCCGGAAUUACUGGGCGUAAAGAGUUCGUAGGCGGUUUGUCGCGUCUUUUGUGAAAACCAGCAGCUCAACUGCUGGCUUGCAGGCGAUACGGGCAGACUUGAGUACUGCAGGGGAGACUGGAAUUCCUGGUGUAGCGGUGAAAUGCGCAGAUAUCAGGAGGAACACCGGUGGCGAAGGCGGGUCUCUGGGCAGUAACUGACGCUGAGGAACGAAAGCGUGGGUAGCGAACAGGAUUAGAUACCCUGGUAGUCCACGCCGUAAACGGUGGGCGCUAGGUGUGGGUUCCUUCCACGGAAUCCGUGCCGUAACUAACGCAUUAAGCGCCCCGCCUG
rnacentral:rRNA from 1 species